rnacentral:rRNA from 1 species
GCAAGUCGAACGAACCUUUUAGGUGAGUGGCGCACGGGUGCGUAACACGUGGGAAUAUACACAUCGGUAAGGAACAACACAGAGAAAUUUGUGCUAAUACCUUAUAAUGACUCCGGUCCAAAGAUUUAUCGCCGAUGGAUUAGCCCGCGCUAGAUUAGUUUGUUGGUGAGGUAAAAGCUCACCAAGACUACGAUCUAUAGCUGGUCUUAGAGGAUGAUCAGCCACACUGGUACUGAGACACGGACCAGACUCCUACGGGAGGCAGCAGUGAGGAAUAUUGCGCAAUGGGGGAAACCCUGACGCAGCCAUGCCGCGUGAAUGACGAAGGCCCUAGGGUUGUAAAAUUCUUUCAGAUGCGAAGAUAAUGACGGUAACAUCAGAAGAAGCUCCGGCUAAAUUCGUGCCAGCAGCCGCGGUAAUACGAAUGGAGCGAGCGUUGUUCGGAAUCAUUGGGCGUAAAGUGUAUGUAGGCGGACAUGAAAGUCAGAAGUGAAAUCCCAGGGCUUAACCCUGGAACUGCUUUUGAAACUCCAUGUCUUGAAUCCCGGAGGGGUGAGGGGAAUUCCGAGUGUAGAGGUGAAAUUCGCAGAUAUUCGGAGGAACACCAGAGGCGUAGGCGCCUCACUGGACGGGUAUUGACGCUGUGAUACGAAAGCGUGGGGGGCAAACAGGAUUAGAUACCCUGGUAGUCCACGCCGUANACGAUGUGUGCUAGUUGUCGGGCUCUAAGAGUUCGGUGACGCCGCUAACGCAUUAAGCACAUCGCCUGGGGAGUACGGCCGCAAGGUUAAAACUCAAAGGAAUUGACGGGGACCCGCACAAGCGGUGGAGCAUGUUCUUUAAUUCGAAAGCACGCGAAGAACCUUACCUACACUUGACAUACUCGUCGGGAAUUUCAGAGAUGAUUUUCUUCGGUUCGGCCGGACG